rnacentral:rRNA from 1 species
GACGAACGCUGGCGGCGUGCCUAAUACAUGCAAGUAGGACGCAGUUGCGAACGGGUGAGUAACGCGUAGGUAACUACCGGUUAGAGGGGGAUAACUAUUGGAAAAGAUAGCUAAUACCGCAUACUAGUGGAUGGACCUUCGUUGUAUUAGCUAGUAGGUAGGGUGAUGGCCUACCUAGGCAACGAUACAUCGCCGAUCUGCGAUGGGUAGCGGGCACACUGGGACUGAGACACGGGCCCGACUCCUUCGGGAGGCAGCCGGAGGGAAUCUUCGGCAAAGGGGGGAACCCUGAACGCGGACCGGCGCGGGAGUGAAGAAGGUUUUCGGAUCGGUAAGCUCUGUUGUUAAGGAAGCGUUACUUAACGAGAAAGGGACGGCUAACUACGUGCCAGCCGCCGCGGUAAUAC